CCUACGGGAGGCAGCAGUGGGGAAUAUUGGGCAAUGGGCGCAAGUCUGACCCAGCAACGCCGCGUGAAUGAAGAAGGCCUUCGGGUUGUAAACUUCUUUUCUGAGGGAAGAGCAGAGUGCGGUACCCUUUGAAUUAGGCCCGGCCAACUUCCGUCCAGCAGGCGCCGUAAUACGUUGGUGGGAAGCGUUUUCCGGAAUUACUGGGGGUAAAGGGCGUGGAGGUGGGAAGACAAGUCAGGUGUGAAAUCCCACGGCUCAACCGUGGAACUGCAUUUAAAAAUGUUUGUCUUGAGUGCAGGAGAGGCAAUCGGAAUUCCUUGUGUAGCGGUGAAAUGCGUAGAUAUAAGGAAGAACACCAGUGGCGAAGGCGGAUGACUGGACGGUAACUGACGGUGAGGCACGAAAGCGUGGGGAGCAAACAGGAUUAGAUACCCGAGUAGUC
rnacentral:rRNA from 1 species